rnacentral:rRNA from 1 species
UCUUAUGUACAUGCCUACAACGUUAAUACACCAAAUCCCAUCAGAGCUUCGCAGUUAAGCGUGCUUGGACUAGAGUAGUACUAGGAUGGGUGACCUUCUAGGAAGUCCUAGUGUUUUAUAUGCC